UACGUAGGGGGCAAGCGUUGUCCGGAUUUAUUGGGCGUAAAGAGCGUGUAGGCGGCCAGACAGGUCAGCUGUGAAAACUCGAGGCUCAACCUCGAGACGUCGGUUGAAACCGUCUGGCUAGAGUCCGGAAGAGGAGAGUGGAAUUCCCGGUGUAGCGGUGAAAUGCGCAGAUAUCGGGAAGAACACCCGUGGCGAAGGCGGCUCUCUGGGACGGUACUGACGCGUGAGGCGCGAAAGCGUGGGGAGCAACAGG
rnacentral:rRNA from 1 species